rnacentral:rRNA from 1 species
GAUGAACGCUGGCGGCGUGCCUAAUACAUGCAAGUCGAGCGAACGGACGAGAAGCUUGCUUCUCUGAUGUUAGCGGCGGACGGGUGAGUAACACGUGGAUAACCUACCUAUAAGACUGGGAUAACUUCGGGAAACCGGAGCUAAUACCGGAUAAUAUUUUGAACCGCAUGGUUCAAAAGUGAAAGACGGUCUUGCCGUCACUUAUAGAUGGAUCCGCGUUGCAUUAGCUAGUUGGUAAGGUAACGGCUUACCAAGGCAACGAUGCAUAGCCGACCUGAGAGUGUGAUCGGCCACACUGGAACUGAGACACGGUCCAGACUCCUACGGGAGGCAGCAGUAUGGAAUCUUCCGCAAAGGGCGAAAGCCUGACGGAGCAACGCCGCGUGAGUGAUGAAGGUCUCCGGAUCGUAAAACUCUGUUAUUAGGUAAGAACAUAUGUGUAAGUAACUGUGCACAUGUUGACGGUACCUAAUCAGAAAGCAACGGCUAACUACGUG